rnacentral:misc_RNA from 1 species
AACGCACAUUGCACCCUCUGGUAUUCUGGAGGGUAUGCCUGUUUGAGUGUCAUUAAUCUCUCAAAACAUGAUUGAUUUGUUUCAUUCAUGCUUUUUGGAUGCUGAAGGUUAUGCUGGCAUUAAUGUCAGCUCCUUUUAAAUGCAUUAGCGGGAUCUAUGCAAGUCCUUAGCUUCGGUUUGAUAAAUUCAUCAUCCCAUACUGUCGCAGAGGAAAGCAAUCUUGGUCUAGCUUAUAGCUGUCCAUGUUAUAUGGACUGUCUCAAUAGAGGCAUAUUUUUGACAACUUGACCUCAAAUCAGGUAGGACUACCCGCUGAACUUAA